UCUAGCAUCAACCGGAUCAUUCACAUUUACGAUCAUUUUUAACAUAUUCACAAUGGCUAAUUAUAGUAUUAUAGUAAAGAAACUAGAUUAAAUCUUCAAUGUUAGGGGACUAUAUAAUCCUAUAGUGGUAAUAGCACGAUAUUAAUUUUACUUUAAGUAGUUGAUGAUUAUCGUAUACUUGUUUUAUUUUAAUCAACAUUUUUCAAUUAUCAGAAUUGCAUGGUUAAAAACUUCGCAUUCCAAAAUGCAAUCAAGGGUUGGUACUUUAUGUAAUCUAAACUGAAGUGUAGGAACAUGUAAUCCAAAUGAUGUAAUGGCUUAAUUAAACCAAUUUGUCG